rnacentral:rRNA from 1 species
UACGUAGGGGGCAAGCGUUGUCCGGAAUCAUUGGGCGUAAAGAGCGUGUAGGCGGUCCGGUAAGUCGGCUGUGAAAGUCCAGGGCUCAACCCUGGGAUGCCGGUCGAUACUGCCGGACUAGAGUUCGGAAGAGGCGAGUGGAAUUCCCGGUGUAGCGGUGAAAUGCGCAGACAUCGGGAGGAACACCUAUGGCGAAGGCAGCUCGCUGGGACGUUACUGACGCUGAGACGCGAAAGCGUGGGGAGCAAACAGG